rnacentral:lncRNA from 1 species
UCAGGCCGGGGGACUGUGAGCGAUGUACUCCACUUCCAGGCUUGGGCUAAUUACCUCCUAUGUGCGGUCCUAGCUCCUUGUUCUUCUUCCACAGCGGAUGUGCAUGAGCACAGGACUUGGAUGCUACUUACUGAAGACACUUUUUCUGCAGUGUCAACAUCAUCUUCAUCAUUACUAUUACUACAAUCACCUUGAUUCAGAACCCAUCAGUCAAUGAAUGAACAACUGGAGCCUCACUAUUGGUGUGAAUAAUUUCUUUGAUAUCCACUUCUUCCAGCUUGCUGAUAGACUCUGAAGUAUCCUCAGCUCUUGGCCCAGUGAGUCUUCUGUGCAUGCUGCUGGGGGAAAUCAGCCAGAACUGCUCUGCUGGACAAGAUUCUCAGAAUAGAGGCUGCUAACAAGCCCAGAUGGCAGUUGCAGCCAUCUUGUGACUAGAAGAAGAGGAAGCUCCAUACUCAGGGGCUCCAGAACACUAGAGUCACAGUCCUGAGACACAUACCUGGAGGCUGCCCUGCGUGUGG